rnacentral:rRNA from 1 species
CCACCGCGGUUAUACGAGUGACUCAUAUUAACACACCCCGGCGUAAAGAGUGGUUUAAGAAUGACCUUAAACAACUAAAGUUAAGACCUCAUAAAGCUGUUAUACGCACCCAUGAGAGGAAUAAUCAACAACGAAAGUGACUUUAUACAUCAAGGAGCCUUGAUGCCACGAUAGUUGGGACCCAAACUAGGAUUAGAUACCCUACUAUGUCCAACCACAAACUUAGACAAUAAAUCACCACAUUGUUCGCCCGAGAACUACAAGCGCUAGCUUAAAACCCAAAGGACUUGGCGGUAUCCCACACCCACCUAGAGGAGCCUGUUCUAUAACUGAUAAUCCCCGUUCAACCUCACCACUUCUUGCCAUUACCGUCUAUAUACCGCCGUCGUCAGCUCACCCUGUGAAGGGCUAAAAGUAAGCAAAAAGAACUUAACUCCAAAACGUCAGGUCGAGGUGUAGCAAAUGAAGUGGGAAGAAAUGGGCUACAUUUUUUACCAAAAACACACGAAUGGUGAACUGAAAACACACCUAAAGGUGGAUUUAGCAGUAAGAGAAGAUUAGAGUACUUCCCUGAAAUUGGCUCUGGGAUGCGCACACACCGCCCGUCACUCUCCUCAAAAACUACUUAUCUUUCCAUAAAUACAUUUCUUCAACAAGAGGAGGCAAGUCGUAA